GGGCGGAUGGUGAAAUGGUAGACACGCAUGCCUUAGGAGCAUGUGCCGCAAGGUAUGAGAGUUCGAGUCUCUCUCCGCCCA
rnacentral:tRNA from 1 species